UGGGGGAUAUUGCACAAUGGGGGAAACCCUGAUGCAGCGACGCCGCGUGAGUGAAGAAGUAUUUCGGUAUGUAAAGCUCUAUCAGCAGGGAAGAUAAUGACGGUACCUGAGUAAGAAGCCCCGGCUAACUACGUGCCAGCAGCCGCGGUAAUACGUAGGGGGCAAGCGUUAUCCGGAUUUACUGGGUGUAAAGGGAGCGUAGACGGCAGGGCAAGUCUGAUGUGAAAGCCCGGGGCUCAACCCCGGGACUGCAUUGGAAACUGUCAGGCUAGAGUGCAGGAGAGGUGAGCGGAAUUCCUAGUGUAGCGGUGAAAUGCGUAGAUAUUAGGAGGAACACCAGUGGCGAAGGCGGCUCACUGGACUGUAACUGACGUUGAGGCUCGAAAGCGUGGGGAGCAAACAGG
rnacentral:rRNA from 1 species